UGCCAUCUGGUAGGUGGCCUUGUGACAUCAGUGAAUAGGAAUUCUCUCACCUCACCCUUUACUGGAAAUGGCAGCUAUUCUGAUGUAAGUCAGAUGGGUCAUCUUGGCGUGGAAGGAAUGACACUUCAUUCAUUCAAGGCAGCUCUCCUGAACUGAGCAACGUUUCUUCUUUUGCCCUAAUUCAUGAAGCUUCUCAGCUGAUGCAUCCAGCCUUCCCUGGGAUCUACUCCCUACCAUUAUAUGGAUAGGAGGCCACACAAGUCAUCCGCACCCCACAAAACUGCAUAUGCCAAGAAGGUGUAGCUGAGGUUGAGCUCCUCUGGCCUGAGGACUGAUCAUGAAUGCUGCUAGAGCUUAGGCAGCUUAAGACAAUUCAAUCUACGCCUGGUUAUUGAGCACGGACUCCAUACCAGGGACUGUGGUGGACAGGAGGGAUGCAGCUGGAAACAGGAUGUGGUCUCUGCUCACAAGAAGCUAGUCUCCUGGAGGAGAUGGACAUACAUAGAUGCAAACACCUGUCACUCAAGGUCAGGAAUUACACACUCAUAACAGAAGUAUGAAUAAAGCACUUUUUGGAGAUGCAUUCGAA